rnacentral:rRNA from 1 species
AGGACGAACGCUGGCGGCGUGCCUAACACAUGCAAGUCGAGCGAGGAGAUCCUCGGGAUGAUCCUAGCGGCGGACGGGUGAGUAGCACGUGGGCAACCUGCCUCAUAGAGAGGAAUAGCCUUCCGAAAGGGAGAUUAAUACCUCAUAACAUUGCAGUUUCGCAUGGAACAGCAAUUAAAGGAGUAAUCCGCUAUGAGAUGGGCCCGCGGCGCAUUAGCUAGUUGGUGAGGUAAUGGCUCACCAAGGCGACGAUGCGUAGCCGACCUGAGAGGGUGAUCGGCCACAUUGGGACUGAGACACGGCCCAGACUCCUACGGGAGGCAGCAGUGGGGAAUAUUGCACAAUGGGGGAAACCCUGAUGCAGCAACGCCGCGUGAGUGAUGACGGCCUUCGGGUUGUAAAGCUCUGUCUUCAGGGACGAUAAUGACGGUACCUGAGGAGGAAGCCACGGCUAACUACGUGCCAGCCGCCGC